rnacentral:rRNA from 1 species
CCUACGGGAGGCUGCAGUGAGGAAUAUUGGUCAAUGGCCGGAAGGCUGAACCAGCCAUGCCGCGUGAAGGUCAGUGCCCUAUGGGCGUUAAACUUCUUUUGUGCGGGAGCAAUAAUGGUCACGUGUGGCCAGACGAGAGUACCGUACGAAUAAGCAUCGGCUAACUCCGUGCCAGCAGCCGCGGUUAUACGGGGGAAGCAAGCGUUAUCCGGAUUUAUGGGGUUUAAAGGGUGCGUAGGCUGUGAGGUCAGUCAGCGGUGAAAUGCACCCGCUCAAAGGGGUGAAGUGCCAUUGAUACUGCCUUGCUGGAAAGCGGAUGCCGUAGGAGGAAUGUGUGGUGUAGCGGUGAAAUGCAUAGAUAUCACACAGAACACCGAUUGCGAAGGCAUCUCACGAAUCCGCGAUUGACGCUGAGGCACGAAAGCGUGGGUAUCAAACAGGAUUAGAUACCCGUGUAGUC